UUCUGCUGUGUUUCAGGACCAAGACUCCCGGUCCAGGAGCUCAGUCUGCUCUCAGAGCUCUGGCUCGGUCUGGGAUGAAGAUCGGACGCAUCGAGGACGUGACUCCGAUCCCGUCAGACUCCACCAGGAGGAAGGGUGGUCGCCGUGGUCGCCGUCUGUAACCUGACCCCCCCACGUCUCCAUGACAACAAUAAAAACGUUAAAGUCCA